CUGUGGGCAUGGGGCUGAGGCCUUUCUCCUCCACAGGUCAGGUACAGUGUGGACAAGUGCACUGUAGACUUCCCUACACGGCUCCUCCAGUGCACCUCAAAGCAGACAUGGAAGGACCGCUAUCGAAUAGGGGUGAGAAGGUAAUUCUGGUCCUCGCUGCAGGUUUGGGGCCAAC
ensembl:misc_RNA